UUAAGUAGUUAUCAAUUCGUAAUAUAGAUCAUAGGUUAAUAAAUUAUGUUUUCUAUAAAAUAUAAAGAUUGGAUGUUUAAAUUAUUAAUAACUAAAACUCAUGUAAUGUUUUGUGCUUAUUUAAAUAACUAAGAUGCAUGAAGAGUAAAUGCGAUGAUUUCACAAAGAUCAUUUAUAUUCGCAAACGUUGGCAGAAGGCACACGGUAGUGUGAGAGCCAUUCAGGAGGAAGGUUAUCUAGUUACAAGUGCAAGUUAAAGUCUGAAAUAAAGUAGUAAAAGUGUUUGUGAGUGUUUUAUUAGUUAAAUGAAAAUGGAAAAUGGAUAAGCCGACUGUUAAAAACAGUGAUAGUGACGGCAGCAUUGCUGACGUCAACUUCUUAAAAAUUGCAAAUAAAUAAAAAAAAUGCAGUCAUGUAAAAUUUUCCUAGAAAUUUAAAUUCUAGUGAAUUGAUUAAAACUAAUUUACACUCUAAAUCAAUGUCCGAAGCUGUAUUACAAACAAGGCUAUUAACGUCACACGCUUAACCUAAUUAUGAUUUAUAGUUAGAAAUAAUAGAAACUGAAAUUAGCGUGUGAUUUUAGUUUAGGGUAUAUGUUAAGUUAUACUGUUACGUCUACUUACAGAACAGUAGCCAAGGCUGGUUUAAAUAGACAAAGAAUAAUGUCCACAUUAAUAAAAUGAAUGCUGCUUGCGAUGUUAAACUUCAAUUUCUGUAUAUAUAUGUACAAAUGUGUUACAUAUAGUUAUGAUUUUACUGAUUUGUAGUAGUAUAUUGUUUAAUAAAUGUUAAUAUUAAUUUGUGAUGAGAUCUAAGAUUUUCGCGAGUAUUCAUUUAAAUUAAUUUGUGAAUUGACUCACUGUUGCAAAUGUAAAUAGAAACUAUAAGAGGGUAGUUUUUAAAAACGACUGCCAUUUUUAAAACCGUCAGUCAAUUCCCAUCGUAUGGUCGGCGAAGCCUUCAUCAAGUGUGCACUAAAUUUUGAAUACAUACUGUGUUUGAACUAGGGCUUACUCUUUGUAAAGGGGCAAAGGAAGAAAACAGUGGAGCCUAUUUCUGGUCAAGUUACUACAGUUCGAACAUGGGCUGGCGCGACCGGGGAAGUACGACCCUCUCACAGAAGAUCGGUGUGAAGUAGUCUUUAAUGGCUGCGCUUCGUCCGAUGAUUACAGAGGUUAAUGCAUAUAAAAUUCAUACGCUGUCUCGGUUAUACAAGAAACUAUGACGAUAGAUCAAGAAGAACGAAUCCCAGAUAUAAAAGUUACCCUCGUCGCUCUAACAGGUGUACAGUUCGUACAAUUUCGAGAAAUUUCUUCGGUAAUUUCUAUAUAAAGUAUAAGCUCUUUAUAGAGCGUACCACUCAAAGUUUCCUCGUUAAUGUCUUGGUAUGUUGAGAGUUUAUAGAAGCCCUCGUCCUGAGCUAACAAGAUAUUCUCAUAUUGAUCGGACAGAAACAGGAUUCAUGGAGUAAUUUCGAUAAUUAUAUCCUUAUAUAUAUUGUGUGCUAAUUGUCUAACUAUUUGGAUACUACCUUAUGAAGAUACUGUAAAUACUACGUCAUACAUUUAUUUAGAAGAUUUAAGUAAUAGACAAUCAACACAAACGUCAAACAACAAGUCUUAUAAUACCUAUAUAAAUAAAUUAUUUGUUCAUAUAUUUAAUUUUAUUUUUAUACAGUCCGAUAUCCAAUGUAUCCAAGUGAAGUAACUUUGCUUAUUAGGAAAACAAAUAAUAGCAAAUAGUAAACAUUAAGUCUCCAGUUUGUAAUUUUUGAAAAUUAAAAAAAAUGUAUAAAUAAAUAAAAAUGUUUAUAAAGAAGCAAACAUAUAGAACAGCUAUUGAAUAAAUGUGCUUUUACACUAUUGCAGUUACAGCAAUAACUUUAAGUGAGUAAUUUCUCAUCAGUUCCAGCAUCAUGUGACGGGAAAUGUUAAAGGUCUAUAAAUUUACAUUUAAAAUAAACGCAAAUAUAAAAAUAAAGUUGAAUUAAACUGUAAUAUCCAUUAAGCCGUUAAAAUCAAGACUGGUCCCAAUAAAUCUGUGAAUGAAUUUUAAUUACUUUGUUUUGUAUGUGUUCGAGACAUACAAACCUUUUAUAUCUUGCCUAAACUUUAAUCUAAGGCUUAUUAAGCUAAAUGAGAUAGAAGUUUUAACCGUCCCAAAUAAAAAAAUAUAUAAAAGCAAACAUUCCACUCUCUAAUUAAAAAGCAGGUACAUAAGGUUUAUAUUGCUCGUUUGAAGAUCCGUCCUAAAAACUUCGGUAGUCUAUUUAUAAAACAAAAUAAAUUAUUCGGUUCUUUUACUGGUUUGAAUUAAAUAGAUCCUAUUUGUAGUAAUAUUAAUGAAUAUGUACAUCAUGCUAACCUACUUAAGUUAGAUUUGUCCUCUAUAAGUAAAAAAUUACAGCAUGAGUGGCCGUUCUCGUCUUAUACACACUUGAGCCGACGCUCAAUGUUUUUAUACUACUAAAACUAAUAUUAUCGGACGUACUACGAGUUUUUAUAUAAUUUUAAACAACAUACUCACGAAGUUUCUGUUACUUCUCAGCA